GAGUUUGAUCCUGGCUCAGAAUGAACGCUGGCGGCAUGCUUUACACAUGCAAGUCGAACGGUAACGGGGGGAGCUUGCUUCCUGCCGACGAGUGGCGAACGGGUGAGUAAUGCAUCGGAACGUACCCAGUCGUGGGGGAUAGCCCGGCGAAAGCCGGAUUAAUACCGCAUACGCCCUUUGGGGGAAAGCGGGGGAUCUUCGGACCUCGCGCGAUUGGAGCGGCCGAUGUCGGAUUAGCUAGUAGGUGAGGUAAUGGCUCACCUAGGCGUCGAUCCGUAGCUGGUCUGAGAGGAUGAUCAGCCACACUGGGACUGAGACACGGCCCAGACUCCUACGGGAGGCAGCAGUGAGGAAUAUUGGUCAAUGGACGCAAGUCUGAACCAGCCAUGUCGCGUGCAGGAUGACUGCCCUAUGGGUUGUAAACUGCUUUUUUACGGGAAUAAACGCAAUUACGUGUAAUUGUCUGAAGGUACCGUAAGAAUAAGGAUCGGCAA
rnacentral:rRNA from 1 species